UCAGUUCAUCGUGCUGGUGUAGUUAGAAGAGAAAUGUUAGUGAAUCCGGGAAAGCUCAUAGUAAUCAUUUUGAUCCUUUUUACAGUCAAGACAAAUGGAGAGAAAUGUGAUAAAGCCUCUGACUGCAGCCCCUGUCCUUUGCAUCAAUGGAAACUGACAUGUUUAAAGGGAUCCUGUUACUGCAUGACGGAUUACAUGUGUAUAUACGAGAG